AUGGAUUUGUUUCUGGGCCUUACCCAUCCAGAUCCUCUGACGGGCGUCCCCAACAGGUUCGAAGGAAUCAGUACAAAGGAUGCCUGGUACCAGGACUUUCAGCAAUUGGAGCGCUAUGAGGUAUCUUCCAAGACAAGACCCGGAAAAGCCCGAGAGACCCAGAAAGUCACCCAAACCAAAGCCGGGGGAGGGGGGCGGGAGGGGCCAGCGCCUUGGGGCUUCCGGCAGCAAGGGGGCAAGGACUUUAACGUGCCCCUCUCGUUUCACCGCUCACUCCUGGAGGCAAAGCAGCUUAGGCUGGAGUGGCCUUGGGCGACUGGGUGCUGAUCAUCGACAGCGAGAACAGCGGGGCAUCCCAAUCACAUCGGAGCCCAGAACAAGAUCCGGGCUUGUGGGGAGCGCCUCAGCCUGGGUCUUUGCAGGGCCCAGCCGGCUCAGAGCAAACUGCAGAAAGCUCUGGCCCCUGCAGCGGAGCCCGCGGGGUACAUCUUUGCACCGAGCGCCUCCCUCAACAAGAUGGCCUGGCCCUUCUGGGCUCCCCCAUCCGCCGACAACGCCCCGCAGCAGAAUGGACAGCGGCUCCUGCCGCUGGUCCCAGACACCAGCAAGCAGCAGCUGAUAGAGAACACCCAGGACUGGCGACUGUGGCCCGGGACAGGCCUGUCGUGUUCCUUCUGCACCCUUGUUAACCUCACGGGCACCGAGUUCAUGCAAGACCCGGAUGAGGAGCACUUGAAAAAGUCCUGGGAAAAGUAUGUCUUGGAGCUACAGAGCCCAAGCUACACCUGCCUCUGGGACUAGCACUGCCAGUGCUCUGCCCACGUGCUCAACGUGCAGUCGUAG